rnacentral:pre_miRNA from 1 species
UGAUUGGAUAAGCUUAUACAAUACAUUAUGUGCUUAUCCAUUGUUUUGUGCAAACAUUGUAUUGUAUAAGCUUAUCCAUCA